GGGCCAGAGAGGCGUCGUUGUCAGAGACGGUGGAGGAGAGUCGGAGAGGAAAAAAAAACAAAGAGUUGCGGCGCGACCUCGGUGGGGUCGGAGGCAAGGAAGGUAGGGGGUGCGCGGGCGAGGGCGAGAGCAUGAGGGUAAGAGGCGAGGCGGGCCAUUUCCGCCUCUGCCUCUGCCUCCGCUGCUCUCUUCGGCGAGAGAAAAAAAAAUGAACGAGAGAAAAGAAGAGAAGAGAGAAAGAAAAGAGAGAAAAAGUAAUAAGGGUAUUUUGGUCAGUUUGUUGAAAAUUCGGACCGAAUCUGCAAAAUCAAAAAAGGCGGCCCCGUUUUGCAAAAGUUCAAAAUUUAUG
rnacentral:lncRNA from 1 species